UCGCCGAAAGACCAAGGGUUCCUGCGUAAAGCUAAUCUGCGCAGGGUUAGCCGGCCCCUAAGGCGAGGCCGAAAGGCGUAGUCGAUGGGAACCACGUUAAUAUUCGUGGGCCAAGGGAUGAGUGACGGAUUUCGAAAGUUGUAUUCCCUUAUUGGAUUGGGAAUGCAGCCUGGAAGUUCCUGGAAAUAGCCUCCCUAUUAAACCGUACCCGAAACCGACACAGGUGGGCAGGUAGAGUAUACCAAGGCGCUUGAGAGAACUAUGUUGAAGGAACUCGGCAAAUUGCACGCGUAACUUC
rnacentral:rRNA from 1 species